AUUGAACGCUGGCGGCAGGCUUAACACAUGCAAGUCGAACGAGUGGCGGACGGGUGAGUAAUGUUUGGGAAUCUGCCUGAUGGAGGGGGAUAACUACGGGAAACUGUCGCUAAUACCGCAUACCAUAGGGUUAGCCCAGGUUGGAUGAGGUAGGUGGUGGGGUAACGGCGCACCAAGCAGACACUCCCUAGCUGGUCUGUGAGGAUGACCAGCCACACCGGAACGGAGACACGGUCCGGACUCCUACGGGAGGCAGCAGUGGGUAAUAUUGCGCAAUGGGCGCAAUCCUGACGCAGCCAGGCCGCGUGUAUGAAGAAGGCCUUCGGGUUGUAAAGUACUUUCAGUGUGGAGGCGUUACCCACAGAAGAAGCACCGGCUAACUCCGUGCCAGCAGCCGCGGUAAUUC
rnacentral:rRNA from 1 species